rnacentral:rRNA from 1 species
UACGUAGGGUCCGAGCGUUGUCCGGAAUUACUGGGCGUAAAGAGCUCGUAGGUGGUUUGUCGCGUUGUUCGUGAAAACUCACAGCUCAACUGUGGGCGUGCGGGCGAUACGGGCAGACUAGAGUACUGCAGGGGAGACUGGAAUUCCUGGUGUAGCGGUGGAAUGCGCAGAUAUCAGGAGGAACACCGGUGGCGAAGGCGGCCUUCUGG